rnacentral:sRNA from 1 species
GCCGGGUGUGGUGGCACCCACCCGUAUUCCCAGCUGCUCGGGAGGCUGAGGCAGGGGGAUGGCAAGUUCAAAGCCAGCCUCAGCAACUUAUCGAGGCGCUAAGCACCUCAGUGAGACCCAGUCUCUA